GCCGUUUUGAAACUAUAUCGUCUCUUUCCUUUGUUCUCAUCUUCUCCUUUCCUCUUCAUACAUUCACUGUUACUGAGCCUAUUUGUCAUCAAUCAGUGGAGUUCUUCAAUAUCGUCUUAAUGAAUACGUUUCACCUCCUUCCUUUUCUCCUUAUUCAUAUAUUUUCCCCCUUUCAUGUCUACAAACCAAAACCCUAUAUUCUGAUCUCUCUUAGAAUCGAUAUUUGAAUUUGAUCAAACGUUUAAGAAUGUUCUCGAAGAACAUCUUUACAACUUUUUUCAGUGUUAUCUCUCAACCUCAUUGACUGAUUAGCUCUUUUCUGAACAUGUUUCAGGUUUCCGUUCGACGCCAAAAGUUUACCGGAGAGAUUUUUAAUAGCGAGACCUUUAGUGACAAGAUUCGCAAUUACUAGGGAUAGAAUUGCUGGUGAAACAAAAAAAAAACUUGAAGCUUUAACAAGUCUCUGAUUUCGUUAGGGAUAAAAACAUGUGAGUUUACAGAUGUUAAGAGUGAAAUAAUAGACUUUAGCUUUUGGAAUGAAUUUUCAGUAACAGAGCUUCGUGGUGUCUACGACGGUCAAGAUGUCGCCGUGAAGCUGCUUGAUUGGGGUGAGGAAAGGCAUAGUUCAGAAGCUGAGAUUGUGUCUUUGAAGGCAGAUUUUGCUCAGGAAGUUGCUGUUUGGCAUAAACUGGACCAUCCAAAUGUUACUAAGUUCAUAGGAGCUACAAUGGGUGCAUCAUGUUUACAACUACCAACAAAGAGUGGUCCACUAGCAAUGCCAAACAGUAUAUGUUGUGUUGUUGUUGAAUAACUUCGAGGUGGUGCUUUGAAAUCCUUCAUGAUCAAGAACAGAAGAAGAAAGUUAGCAUUUAGUGUUGUUGUUCAGCUCGCUCUUGACCUCGCUAGGGGGUUGAGUCACCUUCAUUCACAGAAGAUUGUUCACCGUGACGUAAAGUAUCUGUUGAGAAUCUCUGUCUUCUCUAUUUUAAUUUAGAGUUAUGAUAGCUCUAUACGCUCAUAAAUGGCUCGAGUUCAAGCUUCUAGGGACUGCUACAGUUUGCCACAUCACCAAGUUGUUAAGGGCAUUUUUAACGCAGUAUCUCUUGGGGUUUCUCUAGCCAAAAAGUAGAACGUAGGCCCCGCUAAUUGGGAGAAACAGGUGAAAAAAAGCCUGUGUAGAGAAACGAUUUUGGACUGUUUCUAACACUAUUUUGAAACUUUCCACUGAGACCUAACUAAUAUCAGAUUAAAAAUAUUAAAAAGAUAAAAACGAUUUUUAUAGAAACCCAAAACGUGUUUCCCCCAAUAAUAAUGCUCUAAGGUCUCUGCUCCUUCUUUGUGUGAUUUUAAACUUUUUUUAAUUAAUAUGCAUCCCUAUACUGCACACUGCAUACUUUUUUUUAAUUAUGAAUAUAUCACUGGUUUUAGUCCAAGUGAUUUAGUUUGUUUAGCCGUCUAAGCUUAUAUAUGUAUCUCCUUUAUAGCAUUGGUCCAUUAAUAUAUAGUUAAUUCUGUGAGUUUUAUAUGUCAGGAAUUGUUUCUUACUAAAUGGAUUGGGAUGCAAUUGUUGCUGAUCACUAUUCUUGGGUUUCUCAUCAAGCUACUAACAUGUCUGAUCAACUCAUCAGUUUCCACUCCAUGACCAAAACUCAGCAGGCAUCAUGGGUUUGUAUGCCAUGACUCAGACCGAGACUGUCAGACGAAAAGAACUUAUAUAAAAACCUUCUGGCUCUUGCUUUUUGUUGUUUGUAGGAGUCAAAGCACCUCCAAGAUUAAGAGAUAUAAGGAUCUUUAUUAAACGGACUUUUUAUUAUCACUAGAGCAGCAAGAAGAGAAAUAAUAAGAGCUUUCAAGGAUUAAGGAUGUUAGAGCUGAUGAAGAGGAUAUGGCACUGCUCGCUGUGACAGGAUAAACGACCAGAGAAGUAGAUGAACAAAUCUGAUAUAGAGUUUCUGAACAGCAAGAUGAUCUUUGAAAACUUUCGUUGCAUUGUAUUCUUUGUUUUUCGCUUAUUUGAGAUAAAUAUGUAUAUGUUUCACAAAACUGAGUAAUCAAAGAUAUUGUAUCUGAUACCUA